UAGUCCACGCCGUAAACGAUGAUUACUCGGUGUUGGCGAUAUACAGUCAGUGCCUAAGCGAAAGUGGUAAGUAAUCCACCUGGGGAGUACGAUCGCAAGGUUGAAAUUCAAAGGAAUUGACGGGGGCCCGCACAAGCGGUGGAGCAUGUGGUUUAAUUCGAUGGUACGCGAGGAACCUUACCUGGGCUUAAAUGUACUCUGACGUUCUGAGAAAUCAGAAUUUCUUCGGACAGAGUACAAGGUGCUGCAUGGUUGUCGUCAGCUCGUGCUGUGAGGUGUCGGGUUAAGUCCCAUAACGAGCGCAACCCCUAUCUUUAGUUGCCAGCGGUUCGGCCGGGGACUCUAAAGAAACUGCCCGCGCAAGCGGAGAGGAAGGUGGGGAUGACGUCAAAUCAUCACGGCCCUUACGUCCAGGGCUACACACGUGCUACAAUGGUCAAUACAAAGGGCAGCUACCCGGUGACGGGAUGGCUAAUCUCUAAAGUUGACCUCAGUUCGGAUUGAAGUCUGCAA
rnacentral:rRNA from 1 species